GGGCGGGUAGCUCAGCUGGUUAGAGCACUCGACUGAUAAUCGAGAGGUCGUGAGUUCGAAUCUCAUCCUGCCCA
rnacentral:tRNA from 1 species